rnacentral:rRNA from 1 species
AUUGAACGCUGGCGGCAUGCUUUACACAUGCAAGUCGAACGGCAGCACGGGUGCUUGCACCUGGUGGCGAGUGGCGGACGGGUGAGUAAUACAUCGGAACGUAUCCAGAAGAGGGGGAUAACGCAUCGAAAGAUGUGCUAAUACCGCAUAUUCUCUGAGGAGGAAAGCAGGGGAUCGCAAGACCUUGCGCUUUUGGAGCGGCUGAUGUCUGAUUAGCUAGUUGGUGGGGUAAAGGCCUACCAAGGCGACGAUCAGUAGUUGGUCUGAGAGGACGACCAGCCACACUGGGACUGAGACACGGCCCAGACUCCUACGGGAGGCAGCAGUGGGGAAUAUUGGACAAUGGGCGCAAGCCUGAUCCAGCAAUACCGCGUGUGUGAAGAAGGCCCUAGGGUUGUAAAGCACUUUCAAUUGGGAGGAGAAAUAAGCGUUAAUACCGCUUAUCUUGACAUUACCUUUAGUAAGAAGCACCGGCUAACU